UGGGGUGACUGCGUACCUUUUGUAUAAUGGGUCAGCGACUUAUAUUCUGUAGCAAGGUUAACCGAAUAGGGGAGCCGGAGGGAAACCGAGUCUUAACCGGGCGUUAAGUUGCAGGGUAUAGACCCGAAACCCGGUGAUCUAGCCAUGGGCAGGUUGAAGGUUGGGUAACACUAACUGGAGGACCGAACCGACUAAUGUUGAAAAAUUAGCGGAUGACCUGUGGCUGGGGGUGAAAGGCCAAUCAAACCGGGAGAUAGCUGGUUCUCCCCGAAAGCUAUUUAGGUAGCGCCUCGUGAAUUCAUCUCCGGGGGUAGAGCACUGUUUCGGCUAGGGGGCCAUCCCGGCUUACCAACCCGAUGCAAACUGCGAAUACCGGAGAAUGUUAUCACGGGAGACACACGGCGGGUGCUAACGUCCGUCGUGAAGAGGGAAACAACCCAGACCGCCAGCUAAGGUCCCAAAGUCAUGGUUAAGUGGGAAACGAUGUGGGAAGGCCCAGACAGCCAGGAUGUUGGCUUAGAAGCAGCCAUCAUUUAAAGAAAGCGUAAUAGCUCACUGGUCGAGUCGGCCUGCGCGGAAGAUGUAACGGGGCUAAACCAUGCACCGAAGCUGCGGCAGCGACGCUUAUGCGUUGUUGGGUAGGGGAGCGUUCUGUAAGCCUGUGAAGGUGGCCUGUGAGGGUUGCUGGAGGUAUCAGAAGUGCGAAUGCUGACAUAAGUAACGAUAAAGCGGGUGAAAAGCCCGCUCGCCGGAAGACCAAGGGUUCCUGUCCAACGUUAAUCGGGGCAGGGUGAGUCGACCCCUAAGGCGAGGCCGAAAGGCGUAGUCGAUGGGAAACGGGUUAAUAUUCCCGUACUUGGUGUUACUGCGAAGGGGGGACGGAGAAGGCU
rnacentral:rRNA from 1 species